rnacentral:rRNA from 1 species
AAAGGAAUUGACGGGGACCCGCACAAGCAGCGGAGCAUGUCGUUUAAUUCGAAGAAACGCGAAGAACCUUACCAAGGCUUGACAUUUAAUGCAUAGUAUAGAAAUAUAUGAAAUUUUACAGCAAUGUAAAACAUUAAAACAGAUGGUGCAUGGUUGUCGUCAGCUCGUGUCGUGAGAUGUUGGGUUAAGUCCUGCAACGAGCGCAACCCUUGUCUCUAGUUGCCAAUAUUAAGUUAGGAACUCUAGAGAGACUGCCGAAGAUAAUUCGGAGGAAGGUGAGGACGAUGUCAAAUCAUCAUGCCUCUUACGCCUUGGGCUACAAACGUGCUACAAUGGCUGGUACAAAGAGAAGCGAAAUAGUAAUAUGAAGCAAACCUCAAAAAACCAGUCUCAGUUCGGAUUGUGGGCUGCAACCCGCCCACAUGAAGAUGGAGUUGCUAGUAAUCCCGAAUCAGAAUGUCGGGGUGAAUGCGUUCUCGGGUCUUGUACACACCGCCCGU